rnacentral:rRNA from 1 species
UACGGAAGGCAGCAGUGGGGAAUAUUGCACAAUGGGCGCAAGCCUGAUGCAGCCAUGCCGCGUGUAUGAAGAAGGCCUUCGGGUUGUAAAGUACUUUCAGUCGUGAGGAAGGUGUUAAGGUUAAUAACCUUAGCAAUUGACGUUAGCGACAGAAGAAGCACCGGCUAACUCCGUGCCAGCAGCCGCGGUAAUACGGAGGGUGCGAGCGUUAAUCGGAAUUACUGGGCAUAAAGGGCACGCAGGCGGUUAAUUAAGUUGGAUGUGAAAUCCCCGGGCUUAACCUGGGAAUGGCAUUCAAGACUGGUUAGCUAGAGUCUUGUAGAGGGGGUUAGAAUUCCAUGUGUAGCGGUGAAAUGCGUAGAGAUGUGGAGGAAUACCGGUGGCGAAGGCGGGCCCCUGGGACAAAGACUGACGCUCAUGUGCGAAAGCGUGGGGAGCAAACAGGGAUUAGGAUACC